rnacentral:rRNA from 1 species
GACGAACGCUGGCGGCGUGCCUAAUACAUGCAAGUAGAACGCUGAAGAGAGGAGCUUGCUCUUCUUGGAUGAGUUGCGAACGGGUGAGUAACGCGUAGGUAACCUGCCUUGUAGCGGGGGAUAACUAUUGGAAACGAUAGCUAAUACCGCAUAACAAUGGAUGACACAUGUCAUUUAUUUGAAAGGGGCAAUUGUUCCACUACAAGAUGGACCUGCGUUGUAUUAGCUAGUAGGUGAGGUAAUGGCUCACCUAGGCGACGAUACAUAGCCGACCUGAGAGGGUGAUCGGCCAAACUGGGACUGAGACACGGCCCAGACUCCUACGGGAGGCAGCAGUAGGGAAUCUUCGGCAAUGGGGGCAACCCUGACCGAGCAACGCCGCGUGAGUGAAGAAGGUUUUCGGAUCGUAAAGCUCUGUUGUAAGUCAAGAACGGGUGUGAGAGUGGAAAGUUCACACUGUGACGGUAGCUUACCAGAAAGGGACGGCUAACUACGUG